rnacentral:tRNA from 1 species
GCGCAGGUGGUGAAAUUGGUAAACACGCUAGCUUGAGGGGCUAGUGCUCUUUUUGAGCUUGGAGGUUCAAGUCCUCUUCUGCGCA